UGUGAAUAACAGUGUAUUAGAGUCCCAAAUCAGUGCGACAUGAUUGAUAUUUGUCUCUAUCUAUGAUGGAGUACUCUACCCUAGAUCCAUAAGGGCUCUUCUGGAGAGAAAAUCAGGACUAUAUAUGGAGUAUAUAUAGCUCUUUUGGAGGGUAUAUGAUUUUGUGAUGCUCUGAAGACCUAGGAAUUCACAAAGAACCAUUCUGAUAGAUCCAAAUACAAUGUCAGAAUUUAUCAAGAACUUAAUCAAAAAAAUCCGAGCAACAGAUGUGGAUUUCAUGCAAAUUGUACUUAACAACAAUUGUAACACAUGCGAAGACUUUGUGAAGCUAUUGGGUAGAGAAGGAAACAUCACAGGGUUUUGAGUGGGAAUUGAAUAAGUCAAAUUACAACUUCUGUAGAAAGUUUUGAUGAAAUUGGUGGGAACUUUGAUAUGAAUUUUUAAAUGGUCAUGUUAAUAAUAUGUGAAGGAACAGUUUUUGCAUAAUUUAAAGAGUAAAUAGC